GUGAAUGUUGGCCUUGAAGGA
rnacentral:piRNA from 1 species